rnacentral:rRNA from 1 species
GACGAACGCUGGCGGCGUGCUUAACACAUGCAAGUCGAGCGGUAAGGCCCUUUCGGGGGUACGACGAGCGGCGAACGGGUGAGUAACACGUGGGUGGACCUCGCCCUCCAGCUCUGGGAGUAAGACCGUCGGGAAACCGGGGUACCUAAUAACUGGAUAUGACUCCGUGACGCAUGUUGUGGGGUGGAAAGCCUUGUGCGGCUGAGGAGU